CAGUGUUCCAUCACUGAAGGAUCGAUUCAAGAAGUUCCAAAGAAGCCAGUUUCUAAAGAUAUGCAGGACCAGAAAGGCAUCUUCUAUUUAUGAUCAACUGGCAAAGUCUAUCUAGGAGAGCCAAGACACAGCUUCACAUUUUUAAGCCAUCAACCAGGAAACGACAGGAAAUCGGGAAUUGUCAUGGCUUGCAGAAAAACACACUCCUGGAGGUCAGCCUUAGAAUGGAGAAGUAUAUGAUUCCUAAUACAGGUCACACUUGCAAAUAAGCAGAGAAUCGCCUCUAACUCAUGAAGCCCAAUUCUGCUCAAUUCAAUAAACAGGCAGUAAGUGCCAACUAUGUGUCCGCUAGGUGGUGGGAAGAGAAUGAGAUAAGAAAUAAAGCAUCC